UAAUACGGAGGAUCCAAGCGUUAUCCGGAAUUAUUGGGUUUAAAGGGUCCGCAGGCUGUUUGUUAAGUCAGGGGUGAAAUCCUACCGCUCAACGGUAGAACUGCCUUUGAUACUGGCAAACUUGAGUUAUUGUGAAGUAGUUAGAAUGUGUAGUGUAGCGGUGAAAUGCAUAGAUAUUACACAGAAUACCAAUUGCGAAGGCAGAUUACUAACAAUUAACUGACGCUGAGGGACGAAAGCGUGGGUAGCGAACAGGAUUAGAUACCCUGGUAGUCCACGCCGUAAACGAUGGUCACUAGCUGUUCGAUGUACAUUGGUACAUUGAGUGGCUAAGCGAAAGUGAUAAGUGACCCACCUGGGGAGUACGCUCGCAAGAGUG
rnacentral:rRNA from 1 species